rnacentral:rRNA from 1 species
GAGGUGGAAGCGUAGCGAUACGUGGAGCUGACGAAUACUAAUCGAUCGAAGACUUAAUCAAU